CAAGUAGCAGAGCCGAAGUUUUUCAGAGAUUUUUCUGUGUGCCAAAGCGAGAUGCCCUGUCUUCUCUCUCUAGAUUUUGGACAGCAAACCGCCGCGCGUGUAGAGGUGUGUGCGUGUGACGAAAAAUGAUGGAUGAAAAACGCGAGGAGCGGGGUCUGAAGUCUUUCGUUGGUCGGAUUGCGCUACACCGAGUCUACCCAUCUCUCUCGAUCUACCAUGAUUUUUUCUGCUAUCGCACUCAUCCGGGUGUUAGGCAUCCUCAGUCUGUCCAGAACUUUCGUUGUGGAAGGAUGUGCGGGAGUGAUGCGCGAUUUCUUGUGUCCCCUACUUUCCUUGUUUACGUUUUGCACAGUGUUGCUUCUUAUUCCAUUGUGGAAUGAUUUAUCCUAGCUAACUUGUUGAGUUACAGGUGCAUGCGCCAUUCAUCAACGCCUACCUGUUGGCAUCAUCAACAACCUUCAAAGUGGGUGACGGAAAGAAAUUGUUUUCCAGUUUUAAAAUAUUAAGCGUUCAGCACAACUCAGCCACAAAACAACGGACUGGAUUGCGCUAAGAACCUUUCGAAACGCGCGCAGCCCCCGGGAGCGGUAGGACAAAGGAAGAACGAGAGGAGGAAAAACUAAAGCCAGCGCGCAGCUCUGAUGGUACCCCGUACGCGGUAAGAAGAAAAAUGAUCGAGAGGAGUGUUAGAAACUAACAAAGAAACCGAAUUUUUUAGGCUUAGGCGUGGUGCCAAAAAAUUAGUUUUUAUUUUAGGCGUUUUGUGGCUUGUUCUCUCGGUGAGUUCGUUUUACUGAAAGGGCAGAAACUGCCGUUCGUUCCCUAUUUAAACUAUUUUUGUCCUAUCCGCGAUGCGCUUGGCUGACAGUUCGGCGGAACCCUACAACGGUUACAACAUUGUCCCCCGAGCGAGACGCUUUUCAUUUCAUUUCAUUUCAUUUCAUUUCAUUUAUUAAUUUGAAUAUGUCUGCCUCUGGGGUUGAACAUAUAAUUGCUUAAAACCUAGUUAGCCCUAUUGGUAACUAAACUAACUGAAACUUAACUAAACUAAGGGGAAAUAGAAAAGGAUGUAACAGAAUGGAAAUCCAUAGUGAAAAGAAAAUAAGCAGCGGAUAAGAAGAAAAUAUUUAAAACAAAAAAGAAAUUAAGAAUAACAGAAACAUAAUUAGAAAGAAUAACAAAGAGCCGGAACAUAAAAUUAGAAAUUAAAAUCCCGGUAAUGUUCAUUGAAUUGACGCAAACAAAUUAGCCACGGGUCGUUAAUGCCAAACGCUGUAUUGCGGAAAGGUAUUUCAAGAGCAGUCCGAUUUCUUAAACACCUGGAAGGAACAUACCAACUAAGUUGGGAAAGCAAGUCUGGAGCAUCUAUAUUCCCUCGUAACAAAUUGCUGAUAAAUGACACACAUGCUUUAGUUCGUCUAGAUUCGAGGGUGUCGAGAUUGAACAAUAUGCAACGAUCACUGUAUGACGGUAAUGCGGUGGUGGAAUUUCCAAAGAGGCGACGAUAUAGGCACCUAGUGAAGCGCUUUUGCACACCUCCGAGUUUGUUAUUCCAACCUGCCCUGUUAGUACAGAAGACAACAGAAGCAUACUCAACAACAGGGCGCACUAGGGAACAAUACAAUGCCUUAAGGCACCUCAAAUCGGAGAAGCCCAACGUCAUGCGAAAAAUAAGGCCAAGGUUUGAAUAUGCUUUACCGAUGACCAAUUCAAGGUGACUAUCGAAUGAUAGCCUUUCGUCUAACAUAACACCUAAGUCGCAAACACAUGACACCCUGUUGAUAACAGUGUUAUUAAGAACAUA